rnacentral:rRNA from 6 species
AUUGCCCUAGUAACGGCGAGUGAAGCGGCAACAGCUCAAAUUUGAAAUCUGGCCCUCGGGUCCGAGUUGUAAUUUGUAGAGGAUGCUUUUGGUGAGGUGCCUUCCGAGUUCCCUGGAACGGGACGCCAUAGAGGGUGAGAGCCCCGUCUGGUUGGACACCGAGCCUCUGUAAAGCUCCUUCGACGAGUCGAGUAGUUUGGGAAUGCUGCUCUAAAUGGGAGGUAUAUGUCUUCUAAAGCUAAAUACCGGCCAGAGACCGAUAGCGCACAAGUAGAGUGAUCGAAAGAUGAAAAGCACUUUGAAAAGAGAGUUAAAAAGUACGUGAAAUUGUUGAAAGGGAAGCGCUUAUGACCAGACUUGGGCUUGGUUGAUCAUCCUGGGUUCUCCCUGGUGCACUCUUCCAGUUCAGGCCAGCAUCAGUUCGCUGCGGGGGAUAAAAGUUUUGGGAAUGUGGCUCCUUCGGGAGUGUUAUAGCCCAUUUCAUAAUACCCUGCUCCGGACUGAGGUUCGCGCAUCUGCAAGGAUGCUGGCGUAAUGGUCAUCAGCGACCCGUCUUGAAACACGGACCAAGGAGUCGUCUUCGUAUGCGAGUGUUCGGGUGUUAAACCCCUACGCGUAAUGAAAGUGAACGCAGGUGAGAGCUUCGGCGCAUCAUCGACCGAUCCUGAUGUUCUCGGAUGGAUUUGAGUAAGAGCAUACGGGGCCGGACCCGAAAGAAGGUGAACUAUGCCUGUAUAGGGUGAAGCCAGAGGAAACUCUGGUGGAGGCUCGCAGCGGUUCUGACGUGCAAAUCGAUCGUCAAAUAUGGGCAUGGGGGCGAAAGACUAAUCGAACCUUCUAGUAGCUGGUUUCCGCCGAAGUUUCCCUCAGGA